rnacentral:rRNA from 1 species
GGCUUAGAGUUUGAUCAUGGCUCAGGAUGAACGCUGGCGGCGUGCCUAACACAUGCAAGUCGAGCGAAGCACUUUGCUUUGAAUCUUUCGGGAGGACGAGUGAUUUGACUGAGCGGCGGACGGGUGAGUAACGCGUGGGCAACCUGCCUCACACAGGGGGAUAACAGUUAGAAAUGACUGCUAAUACCGCAUAAGGCCACAGCACCGCAUGGUGCAGGGGUAAAAACUCCGGUGGUGUGAGAUGGGCCCGCGUCUGAUUAGGUAGUUGGUGAGGUAACGGCUCACCAAGCCGACGAUCAGUAGCCGACCUGAGAGGGUGACCGGCCACAUUGGGACUGAGACACGGCCCAAACUCCUACGGGAGGCAGCAGUGGGGAAUAUUGCACAAUGGGGGAAACCCUGAUGCGGCGACGCCGCGUGAGCGAUGAAGUAUUUCGGUAUGUAAAGCUCUAUCAGCAGGGAAGAAACUGACGGUACCUGACUAAGAAGCACCGGCUAAAUACGUGCCAGCAGCCGCGGUAAUACGUAUGGUGCAAGCGUUAUCCGGAUUUACUGGGUGUAAAGGGAGCGUAGACGGACUUGCAAGUCUGAAGUGAAAGCCCGGGGCUCAACCCCGGGACUGCUUUGGAAACUGUAGGUCUAGAGUGCUGGAGAGGUAAGUG